GCCCGUGUAGCUCAGUUGGUAGAGCAGCGCACUCGUAACGCGAAGGUCGCAGGUUCGACUCCUGUCUCGGGCA
rnacentral:tRNA from 41 species